UACGUAGGGCGCAAGCGUUGUCCGGAAUUAUUGGGCGUAAAGAGCUCGUAGGCGGCUUGUCACGUCGGAUGUGAAAGCCCGGGGCUUAACUCCGGGUCUGCAUUCGAUACGGGCAGACUAGAGUGCGGUAGGGGAGAUUGGAAUUCCUGGUGUAGCGGUGGAAUGCGCAGAUAUCAGGAGGAACACCGAUGGCGAAGGCAGAUCUCUGGGCCGUAACUGACGCUGAGGAGCGAAAGCAUGGGGAGCGAACAGG
rnacentral:rRNA from 1 species